UUCUUGUUUAUCUGCAUUUAAUAGAAGUUGAAAGAGAGAAGAUAGUUUUCUUCAUCGUUGGAUAGUCAAAUCGAGUUGUUAUUUUCAUUUGUUUUUUUAUUUCCCGCGCUUCAUUUGUUAGGGAAGAGACCACUUUGCUUUUACUAUCUUCACACCAUUCAUUAUUUAUUUAUUAAUUAACUUCUUUAUUUAUUAUAUGAUAUAUUCUUGUUAGUUAUAUUUAUUUGAGUUUUGUUUGGAAUUUAGGAUUUGACCAUAAGUCCAUUGCUAUGUGCACCUG
rnacentral:lncRNA from 1 species